GACAUAGUAGGUUUCCUUCAGAGGCUUAUGGCAUGAGACCCCCAUGGGCGACACUAAAUUCGAAUGAAUGGAAACAGUGGUUGGCUACAGCUGUGGCAUUAUGACCAGAGCCUGGAUGAUUUCUAUGAUGAUGAUGAAGAAGAGGGGGAUGGGGAAGGGGGGAAAGGAGCCAGGGGUAGGAGUAAGAGUAAGAGCCAGAAUAACCUCUGUGGUCUCUGGAAAUCCCUUCUGUCAGUCCUCUAGAACUCGGUCUAGCCCUAGUCCUAGCCCCCCACCCAGACUUUGGUCCAGCCCCAGCCCCCCCCCCUCAUCAGCUGUCCUCCCAGCCCUCUUGGCCCAUCCCUACUCCAACUGGAGAUGCCCCAGAAGCUGCUGCUCACUGAGGAGGAAGCUGACCCGAUUGGCAGAAGAGCUUGUGGCUGAGGAGGAACGAGCAAAUCGAGGAGCAGAAAAGAAACGGCUAAAGAAGAAGAUUGAGAGGUUGAGAACCGCUGUUCUAUUGGAUGUUUCUAACCAGGUGAUAGAAGAGGCUGCAGUCGCAGCAGGCCCAGCAGCAGAGGAAGAAUUGGAUUUGUCAAGCACCUUCGUGUCUCAAGCCCCUCACAAGGUUGGUGACUGGCCUCCCAAUACCCAGAAAGAGAAAGUGUUGAUCCCUGAGCCUCCAGCCUUGAACUCGCAGAGCCAGAGCCCACAGGAAGGGAGCAGGAGCCAGAGUCCUCAGCUAGAGGUGAGGCCUUAUGGCUGGAACUGGUUAGAAGGGAAGGAAGUGGGGAGAAGGGAAACUACAGAUUGGACUUUCCCGAGUGGGGGUGAUGGUGGUGGGGUGGUAGGGGGAACCUUGAUCUUUAGAGGAAGGCCAUUUGUUAAGUGCUCCCUCUUCUCCCUCUUCCUACUCAUUUCCCACCAUCCAAAAUCCCAUCUCACAUACAGUGGCACUUUUUGCCUUGGCAAACCACUCCUACUGACUUCUUCCCUACUGGCUACAGACAUGCCCAUGUCUCUCUCUUCCUCAAAAAAUCCUGACUUGAUCCAUCCAUCCCUACUAGUUAUUUCAUCUCUCUCCUCCCUUUUGUGGCCAAACUCCCAGAGAAAGCUAUCUGCAAUAGUUGCUUCUACUUCCCUUACUUUCACUCUCUUAACUCUCAACAGUCUGGCUUCUGAUCUCGAUCAGUUGACCAGAAUUUCUCUCUCCAAAGUUACUAAUGAUCUCUUUUUGCCAAACCUAAUGACCUUUUCUCAAUCAUCAUCCCUUGACCAUGGUCUUUGA
rnacentral:lncRNA from 1 species